AGUAUAACCAAUGGAUUUCAGCAAGUUCCUUAUGAUGGUUUCUAGUGACGAUAUGGCUUGUGACACUUGAAGUGAUCAUAUAUCAUUUUGUGGCAAAAAAGGGAUAUAUUGAGGCAGCGACAGCGGAUGUGGUGACUGUAGAACACUUGAAUUCCUCGUCUGGUAUGGAGAAUGACGGUAAAGUUAUCAUAGUGUGUCCAUAGACUGUCCUGAUAGUUGAUGCUGCACAUGAUAAGAGUCGAGAAGGUACAACAUGAGCAAGAAGAACAGGGCAUUUAUCUUGAGGAGACUGAUUUCAAGGACAAAAGAUGUGGCAAAUAUAUGAAAAGGAAAUAACAUUCCUGUGGCGUCUAUUUUCUGUUGAGUUUUUAGGUUUUAAUUCCCCUGCUGUAAUUGUUUUUCCUACAGUCAGUUAUUGUGAACUUCACAACUUUUGGUAAAAAUAUUUAAAUAAUGUGUUUGAGUGACCUCUA